GCCCUACCAGGGAAUCAAACCCCAGAGCAUCGAACACGGACAUCCUCCUCCGACUUACCCCGGCGUUCGCAGUCUGUUUUACGACUUCGGUGUUGCUGUCACUGCGGGCUGGAUCUCCAGUGGGAGGCUGCUUCGCUCCGGAGAGACGGACGGUCCGUUUCUGCGGGUGAAAACACGGAGACACUAAGACUAAAACCCGGGAGGCUGGUGAUGGACUGAGCUGAUCCGACGUCUGAGAGGUUUUUUUUUUGGGCCCGAUGGAAGCUGCGACACAUCUGGAGCUGGUACGUCUGGAUCCCGGUUCCAGCCCCAGUCUGGAUUAAAGAGCCGUGCUCGUCACUGGGGGGGCCGGUGUAUUUUUUUCUGUUUUAGUUUUUCCUCUUUUUCUCAUUGAUUGAGAGUUUGAGGGAGCAGGCGGAUCCCCCUCCUCCCCCUGCUGGUCUGGAUUAAAGCCCAUCAGGAUCAUGAAUCAUCCCCCUUCUGUGACUCUAAUCUGGGCUUUACCGAGCUGGAUUUAAAUCUGAGAUCUGAUCUGGAUUACUCCGCUCCUGGUUCUGAUCGGGUCACAUCUGGCCCGGUCUGAACCAGCUCCAGUACUGGUGUGAUCUUGGACUCGGUCCCGGUGCUCUUGGAACUGGUUUGGGGGAGUUCUGCUAUCAUCAUGCCGACGUCCCGGCCUGGUUCGGAGCCGGUGGAGUUCUGGGUGGACGGGUCAAGGCGGGACGGGACGGUGGAAGAAUUCUACAGCCUGAGCUCGGAGCUGGGCAGAGGAGCGACGUCCAUCGUGUAUCGUUGUGAGGAAAAACAGACCCAGAAACCCUACGCCGUCAAAGUCCUCAAGAAAACGAUCGACAAGAAAAUCGUUCGCACAGAAAUCGGUGUCCUGCUGCGUCUUUCUCACCCAAACAUUAUUCAGCUGAAGGAGAUCUUUGAGACGGACACGGACAUCGCUCUGGUGCUGGAGUUGGUGACCGGAGGAGAGCUCUUUGACCGGAUUGUGGAACGUGGUUACUACAGCGAACGAGAUGCUGCUCACGUCAUCAAACAGAUACUGGAGGCAGUGGCGUAUUUACACGAGAACGGAGUUGUGCACCGUGACCUCAAACCGGAGAACCUGCUGUACGCCGACCUGUCGUUGGACGCUCCGCUGAAGAUAGCCGACUUCGGUCUUUCGAAAAUCAUAGAUGAUCAGGUGACCAUGAAGACGGUCUGUGGUACUCCAGGGUACUGCGCUCCGGAGAUCCUGCGGGGAAAUGCCUACGGCCCUGAGGUGGACAUGUGGUCGGUGGGCGUGAUCCUCUACAUCCUACUUUGUGGAUUUGAGCCCUUCUUUGAUCCAAGAGGGGAUCAGUACAUGUACAGUCGUAUCCUUAACUGCGACUAUGAGUUUGUUUCUCCAUGGUGGGAUGAGGUCUCCCUCAAUGCCAAGGAUCUGGUUAGUAAGCUGAUUGUCCUCGACCCUCAUAAGCGCCUCAGUGUCCGGGAGGCCCUGCAGCACCCCUGGGUGCUGGGUAAAGCUGCUCGGUUCUCUCAUAUGGAUACUACCCAGAGGAAACUACAGGAGUUCAACGCUCGACGCAAACUUAAGGCGGCCAUGAAAGCUGUUGUGGCCACAAGUCGGAUGCACGAAGGCUCGCGGCGUCGCACAGACAGCUGUGAUAUUCCAGGUUCAGGGGCUUCCAGGCAGAGCAGUAUGCAGCAGGACCCGCCUCCUGAGUCUGCACAGUCCACCCACAGAGACAAAGAUGCUCCUCCUCCUGACCAGGAGUUGCCACAGGAAGUUGAAUCAAAGGAUGCUGACCAUAGUGCCCUCAACCUCUCUCCUCCAUGCAGCCCCGAACCACCGAGCUCUGAUGUCACACCAGUAGGGCCCAUCCCAACCAGACCGCCGCUGCGUGCCGACGGGCUGCGACAAGUAUCUGUAAUCCCUAAAAGCAUGCUGGUCCAACCCCGGCUGCCGCAGAAAAGCUGCUCUGUCAUAGAGCCCACCCCCAGAGUAGAGGCCACGCCCACACUGGGCUCACCCCCAAGUCCUAACAACCUCAGCAAUGGCUUCACGCCAGGGGCGGAGCCUACCAGUAAGACCACCCACUGCCAGUGAUCAAAUGGCAAAGAAGAUGCUCCACUUUCCUUCAGUUUCACACAGAAGCAAAAACAGUUCAGCUUUCCAUCAGCUCUGUAUGAAUAUCUAAAUUGGGAACAAAUUACACCAAAGCCAAACGUAUCUGCAACUCACAUCUCAUAUCUAAGCAGUUUCACCACAAGUUCUGGAUCUGUUAGGCCUACGUGCUUACAGCGACUUAUUCACGGAGGGUUUGUUGGCUGCUCCUGCAGAUGUUCUGUCUUCUGGUGUUUAGUAUGAAGGCCUUAGAUUAUUCAGGAUAUGAAAAGUUAAAAAGAGUUUCUUCCAUUAGCAUUCAUCUGCUCUGGUCCUGUCACUGUGGUAAGGAAAACACCAUCAUGGUUUUUGAAGGGACAGAAAACAAAUUUUAAAUGAAACAUCCUUUGAUUAUUUUAUAAAAUAAAAAAAAUGCAUUUAAAAAAUGUGAAUGAAAUCACAAAACUAGCAAAACAUGACUUUUUAAAAUUCUUAAUCAUCUUACACUUAUGUGAGUGUGUCCACUAAAAACACAACAGAGGUAACACAUGUUCACUGUUUCUGUUAAUUACUGCAGUCUUGCCAGUAUCUCCAAGCUUGUUUGCUCAAUCAUUUUGUGAUGACAGAUAAUUUACAGUGAGGAAGUGGAUGUGCUAAAGCUAAGUCAGUGACAGCUAAACAGGAAGCUUGGGGAGCAGCUGUCUCAAGGGCUAGCACAUCUGGAUUGGAUGGCAUGUUAGCAGUUAGCUCACCCACUGCAGCUCUUCAUCAAGUAUCCCUGAAUUAUUUAGUACAUCAGCAAGACUUCAGUUGUUUUUGAAAAGAGUCGGUAUGUGUGCAAAGCAAUAAUCAGAAUAACUCUCCAGAACCACAGUUUGUUUUUCUUACCACAGAAAUGAACCAGCGGCAGCAAAGUGUGUGUUUACAACUAAAAUGAAGCGCUCUAUUAUGACAUUGGACAUCUGAGAACAGACUUACAACUGUUACCAAAGGGGACCUAUUAUGUUUUCCCUUAUUUUCUGUCAUAUGUUAGUGUGAAAUGUUCAUAAAUGAAAAGGUAAAAAUAUGUAAAAGUUAACCGUGUGAGCCAAAGACUGCUAGAAUACUCAGUUUCCACUGUUUUUGUAUUUAUUUUUAAUUUACUAUUUUCCUUAUCUUCAAAACCUUCAGGUUGUCAUCUGCUACAGGCAACAUAUGUCUCUCUAGUAUGGGCAGUACAGCCCACAAGCACUGCAUGGUACCCCUUGGCAGGUUUCUUGGGGAACUUCUGUAAAACAAAGUAUAUCAGGAUAAGUCGGCCACUGAGGCUUUCAAAGUAAAUAUUAAUGGAGCAGAAGUUAUGAAAUUAUACUGAGUGAAAACUAACACCCAGACAGUUGGAUUAACUACUGUAACUAUUUACUGAACCACCUAUUGCAUACAAUUUCUUCUUUGGCUGAUUCUUCCAGUCUAAGUCUGGGGAGUUUUCAGCCCAUGCAGACGCUCUUUAAAGUUUGCUAACGCCUCCAAAAGUGUUUUAAUACAUACUGUGUGAAUCUUUACUGGCUGAUCCUUGUAGAAAAACAACUCAUUUGGUCUUUAGAGGAAAAAUAAUGUGCUUCGUUUUAGCUGUAAACAUUUAUUUAGAUCUAUACUUACUGUCACAUUAAAGGAACAUUACGUCAUUUUACACCAUUUGCUAAAUUUGGCAAUGAUGGUGAGAAAUCCAGAUGGAAAUCACUCUCAUGUCUAUGUGUUUAAAACAGAACUGGCGUUAGCUUAGCAUAGCAUAGAUCCAUCUACCACCACUACCUUCUCAGCAGGUACCUUCCUGCCCAUAUCUAGCAAACAGGAGUGGACUGCCCAAAUACCAACAGGCUACAAGACAUGUGGGCUAGAUGAAUGCAUCUGGUGUGGGUCAGAUCUGAGUCAGAAGAAAUAGGAUAAAGUAUAACCCCCCCAAACACACACACUUUUUUUGGGGGGUGUUCUUCUUGGUUGACAUGCAGCAUUUCUGGGGUAAAAUUUGGCCCAGAUCCAGCAAAUAGCAGACUGCCUAAAUUCAUCACUCCACCCAGUUUGUGGGGCAGAUGAUUGUGUCUGGUGUGGGUUAGAUCUGGGCCACACCUUCCCUGGUUUCAAUAAAAUCAAGUUCACAGUGUGCUUUAAAGAGUGUAUUGAUUUCCUAACUGAGUGGCACUGCAGGCCUAACUUUAUCGCAGCAGUCUGGGAUCAGGUGCAGCAAACGCUCACAAAUACAAAAAUAUUCAACAAUCCAAUUAAGAAGAAAAAGUAAUUAAUUCAAUUCCCACCAUUUUAAACAGGCAAUAAUCAACAAUUUCCAUCAUAAAAUCUGUAGGUUUAAUUUUCAUAUUUUCUGACUGUUGGCAGGUAUAUGUGGAAUUUCCUCCAUACUUAACACAUAAACAUGAGACUGACCCAUCUGAGUGUUUCUCAAAAUGCUGAUCUUUUCCUUUAAGUCCUGAUCUGGGACAAACUGAGACUUGAGUCUCGUGUUUUGGGCUUCUUCUUCUCCUGGCACAGAAAGUGGACUUUUCCUCUGAUGCUCAGGACAGAGCUGACUGAUUGUAUUUUAUUAAGCUAACACAGCUGACUUGGCGCUUGCCUGCAUGGAUGGAUGCUCUGUACUCAUGGACAAGGAGGGAGAGAGAGAGAGAGAGAGAGAGCAGCUUCAUCUCUCGGGUUUUUCUUCUUCUUCUGCAUCCCUUUUUGUUGUGGAGCAUGUGCACUCAGACGCUUCGGACUUUCAUGUUGCUGUAAAACUCUGAGUUUUUUUUAUCCUUUCUACUCUUUACCGUCGACACCCGCUGACAUGAUUAUGCAGCUGUAUGAGUAGAUAGAGUACCUCCAGUGUGUAGCGUUCAGUGCAGGAAACUCCUCCUAACUGACCACAGACACAAACAUAGCACGCUUUAUUGGAAACACAUUUCCUGUGUAACUAAGUGAGGCUGGAGCCAAGAUGAAUGGCACAGUGACAUCAGGACCUACAAGCUCACGAUGAACUGGCUGGCAAAGCAAAUGCUCGUCAAUGUUCUUCCAGCAAAGGCCACAGUCUCCAAGACCGAAAUCAGGGAGAAGCUUGUCAAGAUGACCGAGACCAGAAUCGUCUUCGUCUUUGGCAUCAGGGCUCAGUUUGGUGGCAGUGAGACAAGGAAAGAUGGAAGAAAUACGAGAAGGCCGGUGCCGGCACUGCCCAUAAGAAAUGAUCUUGGACAGUCAGGGAUGGUCUCCAUGUUCAAGAUGUUCUUGUAUAUUUUCAUUAAACAAAGUGUAUGUAAGUAAAAUUUAUUUAUCACAGAAAAAAAAAAUCACAGUGCUUCACAAUAAAUAGACAAAAAAUGAAAGUAUAACAUAUAGCAAUAUAAAGCAAUAGAAUACAGCAUAAAGAAAAAGUGGAAAAAAAAAUAUGUACACAUCACAUCAAACACAGACUGUAUACGAAGAAUGGACACAGCCUCAGUUUUGGUAUGUUGGAUGUUGCCAAGCUGAGGGAGAGCUAAGGUAUCAGCUGACAUUAGCAAGCUCAGUUAGUAAGAUGCAUCCAAGAGGGUAAGGUGGAUGAAAGGAUCACAAGCAUUAAUUUAACCCAUGAGACAGGGGUUUGCAUUAUGU